rnacentral:rRNA from 1 species
UACGUAGGGUCCGAGCGUUGUCCGGAAUUAUUGGGCGUAAAGAGCUCGUAGGCGGUGUGUCGCGUCGGCCGUGAAAACCUGCAGCUUAACUGUGGGCUUGCGGUCGAUACGGGCAUCACUGGAGUUCGGCAGGGGAGACUGGAAUUCCUGGUGUAGCGGUGAAAUGCGCAGAUAUCAGGAGGAACACCGGUGGCGAAGGCGGGGUCUCUGGGCCGAUACUGACGCUGAGGAGCGAAAGCGUGGGGAGCGAACAGG